rnacentral:lncRNA from 1 species
GAGUCUUUUAAGCUGGCAAAAAGCAUUAUAAAGGGGCAGGAGAAAAAAGGAAAAGACUUGCAGACUGAAAUCUAAAGGACACUUGAUGCUUCCCAGUCCUGUUUCUUGCACUAACAAUGAAUGAAUGAAUCACAAAAAUCCUAGAACUUUAUGCGUUUUCAAGAAGUUGCCUGAAGAAGGAACUUCCUUGUGCGGUACGCCUCAGGAAAAAAGAAGCAGGAGAAAAGCUUUGAGAGGAGAGCAAGUGACGGUGAGAUCGUAAUGGAAGUGGGGUGGAGAGGUGGAGGGUGGAGACCGGUAGGAAGCAAGCAAGGCUUUUUUCACCCGUCCCAGGACACGCGAACGAGAUCAAGCCUCACUGCGGUUCACUAGGGUCUAUGCAGGCCCUCGCACCCCUGCCUACCUCCUCAGAACCCAGCCUCUUGGCUCUUCUCACCCCAGCCCCACCAGACAGCUUCCCUCCCAGGAGGUGUCUCUCAAGAUCUCGAAAUGUGGAGCGUCCCGUUCACUCCACCUGGCCUGGAAUACUUUUCCUGCCCCCUUUCAUCGGGUCUUAUUCAUCCUUUAAGUUGUUCAGCAUAACUUUCCACCUGAAUGCCUUCCCUGGCCCUGGACUAGGAUAAAUCCCCUCGCCAUAAUGUUCCUACACAGGCAUCACUUUGUAAAGCUUACCACUGUUGUAAUUACUUGUUUACUGAUCUGUCUUUCCGUUAGGCUGUGCGUUCCACUGGGGUGGAAACCUUGUUCACUGGCUCUGCAGCCCCGGGCACUGUGGGUCUUGCAUGUACCGGGGGCUCAGUAAAUAUUUGGCAAAAAAUGAAAAAGUUCCCCUCAAAGCCAGCUUCCAGUGCCUCCACGGCCCUCAAAUUAAUUAUGAAUUAAUUCACUAAUACAGCAAACCUUUAUGUGAUUCUUCCGUGUCACAGCACCUUGUUACAUACUGAGGACACAUCCACAGGCAAAUAAAACUCAGCUUCUCUCUGCACAGGAAAAAAUUAUUCAAAUUGUAUUCAUCUUUCAUUCCAAUCACUCAAUUAGGGCACGUCCCUUGUUGGCUGCUGCGUGAGCGAAGUAACUAUUUUCCAGCGAGUGUCCUCAUGUGACCUGUCUAGACGUGCCCAGGAAAAACAAUCCAACAUCCUCCUAAGCCGCAAAGAAGUCCCUGACGCGCAGGCCGCACUGCGUGGAAGGCCCAAAGCGCGCUCGCGGGCCCGCGAAAGGCGCAGGAGCAGCGGAGCCGAGGCGGG